UCCCUAGCACCCGAUUUCUCACUAUGCCCAUGAUGUCUCCCUCUAUCAAGGUAUCUCUUUCAUUGCUCUCCCACUCCAUCCCUGUUCCAGCUUGACCAUCCUGUUUCCCUAUGUUCUCAUCUCCCAUCCCCUAUCCUUUAUAAUCCCCCCAACCCCAGUUUACUCAUCGAGAUAUCCUCUGUUUCCCCUUCCCAAGGUGAUCCAUGCAUUCCUCUGAGGGUCUCCCUGUUUCCUAGCUUCUCUGGAGCUGUGAGUUGUAGUCUGGUUAUCCUUUACAUCUAGUAUCCACUUAUAAACUAAGUCAGCAGACCAAUAGAUCUGUUGGGGCUGGAUCACCUGGAAGACAGCUGGUAUGCUCCUCACUGGAAACAGAUUCACACUGCAGAGAACCUGUAAUCAGCAGGAGUGUGCUGCAUCCAGAUCUGCGCAAAGCCUGUCAAAGUCCUCCCACAUCUAUGGUCAUCCAGUCAUCUCCAGACUAGAAGCUCCAGGAUGGGAGAAUAGUCAAGUAUCAUGCCCAGAAAAAGGACUGAGAAGGGGCUACUCAGACAUCUGUCACAUGAACCAAGAGAUUGGCAAAAGGAAGAGAACACAUUGGGAUGCAGGAUGAACGGAGAAGACCCCAUGCCUCCCAAAUCAUUGACAAUGAGAACCACUCACUUGGCACUGACACUGUGCUCUAGUCCUUGAAGGCUGCUUCCUCCCUGUGAUCUCACAUGACCCUUGCAAAGCAAAUGAGCCACAGGACACUGACAUCAUCAAUGAAAGCUUUGUGCUGUUCUCUAAGUAGCUCCCUGCAUAGCAGCCCUCUGAUCAUAAUGACAUGUAGGUGUGUGAUAUGUGACUGACACAGCUCUCUCAAUGUACUGCAGCUUCUGGCAGAGCAGGAGGGUUUGCUUGCCAAUUAUCCAGAUUCUUGCAAGAGGCUAACUCUCCAGAAAGACCUGGGAAUGAUCACAGAAAUCAACCGUUGGAUGGUAUGUAGGUGGGAGUCUGGAUGGAUGAGUGGAUGGUUAUUUGGGUGUCUCUAUGUUUAUGGUUGGAAGGUGGGCACCUAGCCCUGCUGCCUCGGCCUACCUGAUGCUGCUCAGCAGAAGGGUCACAGAUCAUCUCAUGGGCCUCCUUCAAGAGCCUCUUCAGCUCCUCACAGGACUCUUGCAGUUCAAUCUGCUCCUUCCACAGCUGUCUGUUCUUCAGUCUCAGCACAUGUACACUCUCCUUCCGCUGAGUCCAAUCUCGGAGGACCUGGCUGUGGAGGUAACUGAACAAGCACCAAAACAUGCAUCCCAAAAGAAUUCAGCCUGUGGUAGGGCAUGGCCCCAGGAGAAAAGGACCCCAUGAACACAGGCCACAAGGAUCAUAUGGAAUCCGGCUAUGUUCUGGACUCCUCAGCCCCAUGGAUGCCACAGCCUGACAUUUACACACUGGGACCUCCUGGUGCUAAAUAAACUUUCUAUCAUGUC